UACGUAGGGUGCAAGCGUUGUCCGGAAUUAUUGGGCGUAAAGAGCUCGUAGGCGGUCUGUCGCGUCUGCUGUGAAAAUCCAGGGCUCAACCCUGGACCUGCAGUGGGUACGGGCAGACUAGAGUGCGGUAGGGGAGAUCGGAAUUCCUGGUGUAGCGGUGAAAUGCGCAGAUAUCGGGAGGAACACCAAUGGCGAAGGCAGCUUGCUGGGACGGUACUGACGCUGAGGCGCGAAAGCGUGGGGAGCAAACAGG
rnacentral:rRNA from 1 species